rnacentral:lncRNA from 1 species
UGGAAGAUUUGAAGAUGCGUUUCCCUGGAGCCUUGGCUUGGGGACAAGCCAAAUUUCAUGGGGAGGGGAUUGUCAGGAACCUGCCUGUCACUAUGGGUACUGAAGAAGGAGAACCUGAUGAAGCAGAAGCUGAACAGGGAGAGAAGGAACCUGAAGAAGGAGAACCUGAUGAAGCAGAAGCUGAAGUCCAGGAGGAGGAGAUACAGACUACUACUCCAGGAAGAGCAAGACCCACAAGAGGGCCAAAGCCCAAUCCUCG